GGCAGGAAAUUUGUUAGGAUUGUUGUAGUUAUAAUGAUGGUGGUAAUGGUGGUUUUCAGUGGAAUUUUGACUACAAACCCGAUGAUGAUGGCACUAGCAAGGCGGUUGAAUGAAGAGGUGGUGGCCGUAGGUGGUGUUGUGCCGGAUGACCAUUCGCCUAUUCCUCCGAUCAGGUCAUCUUGCAAAACCCAUAUUCCGAGUCCCACAUGCCCUCCCUAUUCUUCAAAGCAUAGGUGAGUCCUCUAUCUAUAUAAAAAUGUAUAAAUAACUAUUAAUAUGAUAUAAUUUCGAUUUAAUUUUUAUAUAUCACUAACAUUAUAGUACCAUUAUAUAUAAUUUAUUUGUUUCUUGGUUGGACGCAGGUAAAAUGGCAAAUUGGGAUGGCA
rnacentral:lncRNA from 1 species